rnacentral:rRNA from 1 species
UACGUAGGUGGCGAGCGUUGUCCGGAUUUACUGGGCGUAAAGAGCCCGCAGGCGGCCCGUUAAGUUUUAGGUGAAAUCUCCCGGCUCAACUGGGAGGGUGCCUAGAAAACUGGCAGGCUUGAGGCAGGGAGAGGGAUGUGGAAUUCCCGGUGUAGUGGUGAAAUGCGUAGAUAUCGGGAGGAACACCAGUGGCGAAGGCGGCAUCCUGGCCCUGUCCUGACGCUCAGGGGCGAAAGCGUGGGGAGCAAACCGG